rnacentral:lncRNA from 1 species
CUUAGUGGCUCUGUCUUUUCCCAUUGUUCCCCUAAGUUGCAUGUUGUUUUAUGAAGAGUGGUAGGAAGUGUACCUUGACCUUGUGAUUCUCAUAACAUUUUAUUUUACUCUUCUUCCACUGCCUUCUCCUCAUGUAACAAACUACUGAGCUGAGGUGUAAGUAGCAUACGUAAAAUGUUAUUUUACAAUAAACCAAGUUGCAAGGCCUUAUGGUGACUCAUCUUAUAAUGUUCUGUAAACUCUCUUUUUUCCUUUGUGGUCAGUUGCUAGUAGUUGUCCCCUUUGGGUGAAACAAAUACCAG